rnacentral:rRNA from 1 species
AUUGAACGCUGGCGGCAUGCUUUACACAUGCAAGUCGGACGGCAGCGCGGGCUUCGGCCUGGCGGCGAGUGGCGAACGGGUGAGUAAUACAUCGGAACGUGCCCUGCCGUGGGGGAUAGCUCGGCGAAAGCCGGAUUAAUACCGCAUACGACCUGAGGUUGAAAGCGGGGGACCUUAGGGCCUCGCGCUUUUUGAGCGGCCGAUGGCAGAUUAGCUAGUUGGUGGGGUAAAGGCUUACCAAGGCGACGAUCUGUAGCUGGUCUGAGAGGACGACCAGCCACACUGGAACUGAGACACGGCCCAGACUCCUACGGGAGGCAGCAGUGGGGAAUUUUGGACAAUGGGCGCAAGCCUGAUCCAGCAAUGCCGCGUGUGUGAUGAAGGCCUUCGGGUUGUAAAGCACUGUUGGCAGGAACGAAAAGUGCCGUGCUAAUACCACGGUACGAUGACGGUACCUGCAGAAUAAGCACCGGCUAACUACGUG